rnacentral:rRNA from 1 species
GCAGUAGCCGCGGGAAUACAGAGGGUGCGAGCGUUAAUCGGAUUUACUGGGCGUAAAGCGUGCGUAGGCGGCUUUUUAAGUCGGAUGUGAAAUCCCUGAGCUUAACUUAGGAAUUGCAUUCGAUACUGGGAAGCUAGAGUAUGGGAGAGGAUGGUAGAAUUCCAGGUGUAGCGGUGAAAUGCGUAGAGAUCUGGAGGAAUACCGAUGGCGAAGGCAGCCAUCUGGCCUAAUACUGACGCUGAGGUACGAAAGCAUGGGGAGCAAACAGGAUUAGAUACCCCGGUAGUCCCUGUCUCUUAUAC